UGGGGAAUAUUGGACAAUGGGCGCAAGCCUGAUCCAGCCAUGCCGCGUGAGUGAUGAAGGCCCUAGGGUUGUAAAGCUCCUUCACCGGUGAAGAUAAUGACGGUAACCGGAGAAGAAGCCCCGGCUAACUUCGUGCCAGCAGCCGCGGUAAUACGAAGGGGGCUAGCGUUGUUCGGAUUUACUGGGCGUAAAGCGCACGUAGGCGGACUUUUAAGUCAGGGGUGAAAUCCCGGGGCUCAACCCCGGAACUGCCUUUGAUACUGGAAGUCUUGAGUAUGGUAGAGGUGAGUGGAAUUCCGAGUGUAGAGGUGAAAUUCGUAGAUAUUCGGAGGAACACCAGUGGCGAAGGCGGCUCACUGGACCAUUACUGACGCUGAGGUGCGAAAGCGUGGGGAGCAAACAGG
rnacentral:rRNA from 1 species